UGGCGUGCAACAGUCGUCUUCGAAGCUGCGUCUAUUUAGCACGUGUCUGCGACAGGUAUCGGCCAAUAGCGGAAUUUACCGAAGAAUGCCGAAGCGAUGCCGACCGGUCUUCGUCGGGAAGGAAGGUCUCGCCAUUUCUCUCGCGAACGUCGAAGUAACAGGACGUAUUGAGAGCAUCCUUCCGUAUAAAUAAUAUUUGAUGGAUAUUGAAAGCCGUGACAUCUAAUAUGGGUUUGAAAUAGAAUUUCGUAAGAAUUUAUUGUUUUAAUUUAUUGUAAUCGAUUAUUAACAUUUAUUAUUACUUUUUUUUUAUCGAGUCGUUGU